UUUGUGAGGGCUGGACAAAGGCUGGGGCAGCAGCAGUGCCUGUCACCAGCUGAGCUGUGACACCUCCCGAGCUGCUCCUUAGAACUGACCUGCUGCAUGAACCUCUCUGAGCGCUCUGCUCGGUCAGCAGCUACCAGCAGCAAAAGUGCAAAUCAAAGACGAAUGGCCCGUUCAAACAUUUGCCUUCGUGUAGGAGAGCGGGACACGUCCCUGAUUUUGGUGGUGAAAUACAUCUCAGCUUUGAGAGCAGAGACUUCAAACCCUCAGCUCUACAAAGCUCAUUCCCUGACCAUCUCCUGCACCCUAUCACUGGUAAAAAUUUGCUUUUUUUGAGGAGAUCCUGUACAACUCUGAAUCAAUAUUACUGAGGGUUUUUUCCCAAAGUUGCCAGAACGUAGAAAGACAACGAAGAGAUUUACCAUCUGAGCAUUUUACCAAAAUGCCUAAAGGGGACAGAAGUCUCCUGUUUAUUUACUCUGUAUCUGAAAUAUUUCUCCAUCUUUCUGUGUUUGUGCCCUCAAGAACUAAUCACCAUCUCUGCAGGAGACCCCCAAAAGUCCACCCUUCCUUCCUUACACCCCUACCCUGGCAAGGCUGGAGCUCUCACAGAAGUGCCCAUGGGUGUAUUUUUGGUUUUCCUCUUAACUGCAAGGAAGACAAACCUUCCAGCACUGCUGUGAUAUGUGAUGGUGGGAGUGGGAAAGGACAGUACAGGAUCAAGCCCUCUGUACUCCCAGGAAGGCACGGGAGGGCCUGUCCUGCCACACGCUGCCCUUUUCACCCAGGGCACCCUGACAGCACCUGGCACUGAAACCAAAGAUCAGCUCCAAGAAGUGCCUAAGAAAGGGCUCUGACUAGGGCAGAAUUUCCACUUCUCUGCACAACUGCACUUGUCUUUGCUGAGUUGAAAACACUCACUGCCAAGUGAUGAAAUGAGGCCUUGGAGGCUCCAUCACUCAUUAUCACAUUUCAGCCUGAGUGGUCUCCAAACCACAACUUUCCCCAAGGGUUUGAAAUAUUAUUUUAUUUAUUUUUUAAUUGUAGCUGGUUAAAUAUUGGGCCCUUAUCUAAAUCAGAUGUCUUCAGGUACAGAAUUAUUGUUCUUCGGUCAUUGCCUUUUACUCUCUACAGCCAUUAGACGGAAAGUAAGACUGAAAACUGCUGGAGGAAAGUUCAGGUCAUGGUUAUUUGGGGGGG